rnacentral:lncRNA from 1 species
GUGCUCCCAAGGAGGGCCUGUGGGGCUGCCUGCCCAGCGAUUUGGGGUACAAAGGAGUGGGAAAGCAGAGAAGCGUGGGCGGUAGGGAGAGAGAAGAGAUACAGUGAACUAUCAAGGCAGGAUGGGGCUUGGUAAGAAGAGAUCAGUUCCUGACAGCUUUCAGGACCUGCUUUUCAAACCUCUGGGGAGAUUUGGAUAUGUGCCUUGACCGAAUCUGGCCUGCUCUUCAUCACGGAAUACUUUGUUUUUGCUCCUGCUGGUUUUGGACCGUGAGACCCCACCCUGUGCCGAUGGCCCUGAGCCUAUUUGCAGGACCUGUGCAGGCCUCUUCCCAGGCGUGUCCUCCCCA